UACAGAGGUCUCAAGCGUUGUUCGGAUUCAUUGGGCGUAAAGGGUGCGUAGGUGGCGCCAUAAGUCAGGUGUGAAAUCUCGGGGCUCAACCUCGAAACUGCACUUGAUACUGUGGUGCUUGAGUACUGGAGAGGAGAUUGGAAUUUACGGUGUAGCAGUGAAAUGCGUAGAUAUCGUAAGGAAGACCAGUGGCGAAGGCGAAUCUCUGGACAGUUACUGACACUGAGGCGCGAAAGCUAGGGGAGCAAACGGG
rnacentral:rRNA from 1 species